GAAUAUUGGACAAUGGCGAAAGCCUGAACCAGGCAUGCCCAGGUUGUGAAAAAGGUCUUUGGGUUUUAAACCAUCUUAAGUUGGGAGGAAGGGCAAUAAGGGAAUAACCUGCUGGUUUGACAUUACCGACAGAAUAAGCACCGGCUAACUCUGUGCCAGACGCCGCGGUAAUACAGAGGGUGCAAGCGUUAAUCGGAAUUACUGGGCGUAAAGCGCGCGUAGGUGGUUCGUUAAGUUGGAUGUGAAAUCCCCGGGCUCAACCUGGGAACUGCAUCCAAAACUGGCGAGCUAGAGUAGGGCAGAGGGUGGUGGAAUUUCCUGUGUAGCGGUGAAAUGCGUAGAUAUAGGAAGGAACACCAGUGGCGAAGGCGACCACCUGGGCUCAUACUGACACUGAGGUGCGAAAGCGUGGGGAGCAAACAG
rnacentral:rRNA from 1 species